UACGUAGGGCGCGAGCGUUGUCCGGAAUUAUUGGGCGUAAAGAGCUCGUAGGCGGCCUGUUGCGUCCGCUGUGAAAUCCCGGGGCUCAACCCCGGAACUGCCUUUGAUACUGGUAGUCUCGAGUCCGGAAGAGGUGAGUGGAAUUCCGAGUGUAGAGGUGAAAUUCGUAGAUAUUCGGAGGAACACCAGUGGCGAAGGCGGCUCACUGGUCCGGUACUGACGCUGAGGUGCGAAAGCGUGGGGAGCAAACAGG
rnacentral:rRNA from 1 species